UAUGGGAAUGCUAAGAUGCAAUAAUCAUUCAUUCAUUCAACAAAUAUUUAUUGAGUGCUUUCUAUGUGCCAGAAAUGAACAUUGAAAAAAAUGACAAAAUCUUUUGCCCUAGUGAAAUUUACAUUCAAGAAGUGUGAUACAGACAAUAAACAAAGGAAAUAAGUAAACUGUUCACAGUGUGGAGAAAAAUUACGCAGAGAAGUCUCCUCAGACAUACCUCAGAAAUGUUUUCAGUUGGAUUCCAGACCACCGCAAUAAAGUGAAUAUCACAAUAAAAAUUCACAGGAGCUAAAUGAACUCAAGACUCUCUGAUUGCCACUGUCUUUCCAGUUGC